rnacentral:rRNA from 1 species
UACGAAGGGGGCUAGCGUUGCUCGGAAUUACUGGGCGUAAAGGGCGCGUAGGCGGACAGUUAAGUCAGAGGUGAAAGCCCAGGGCUCAACCCUGGAAUAGCCUUUGAUACUGGCUGUCUUGAGUGCGGGAGAGGUGUGUGGAACUCCGAGUGUAGAGGUGAAAUUCGUAGAUUAUUCGCAAGAACACCAGUGGCGAAGGCGGCUCACUGGCCCGGUACUGACGCUGAG